AAGCCAUGCGAGUCUAAAGGACUUCGGUCCUUGGCGGACGGCUCAGUAACACGUGGGAGAACCUGCCCUCAGGAGGGGGAUAACCCCGGGAAACUGGGAAUAAUACCCCAUAGGUCUAGGAUGCUGGAAUGCUUCUAGGCUGAAAGCUCCGGCGCCUGAGGAUGGCUCUGCGGCUUAUCAGGUUGUAGUGAGGGUAACGUCCUCACUAGCCUAUGACGGGUACGGGCCCUGAGAGGGGAAGCCCGGAGAUGGACUCUGAGACACGAGUCCAGGCCCUACGGGGCGCAGCAGGCGCGAAAACUCCGCAAUGCUCGAAAGAGUGACGGGGGGAUUCCAAGUGCCUACGCUCAGCGUAGGCUGUUCAGAUGCCUAAAAAGCAUCUGGAGUAAGGGCUGGGUAAGACGGGUGCCAUCUGUGGCAGCAGCCGAAAAUUUGGCUUGCUACUGCAAGGCAUAAGCCGCCGCGGUAAUACCCGCAGCUCGAGUGGUAGUCGAUUUUAUUGGGCCUAAAGCGUCCGUAUCCGGUCUGGUAAAUGCUUGGGUAAAUCGUCUGGCUUAACCAGACGAAUUCCGGGUAGACUACCAGACUUGGGACCGGUUGAGGAAGAGGGUACUUCAGGGGUAGGAGUGAAAUCCUGUAAUCCUUGAAGGACCACCAGUGGCGAAGGYGCUCUUCUAGGACGGGUCCGACGGUGAGGGACGAAAGCCA
rnacentral:rRNA from 1 species